ensembl:snRNA
AUUUUGUGUGGCAGGAAGGAAUGUUAGAUCUCCCCUCGACAAGGAUGGAAGCCCUUGGAUCCCCACAAUACACACGUGAUUAAGGUAUCACCACCUACUUUGUGGCAUCUAACCAUAGGUUGUC